UUUGUCUUUAUGGCAAAUGUGAGAUGCAGUGUAUGGUAUGUCAAAUUUCUAGUAUGAGAMMUUAACGAUUUAAGUCCUUCUUAAAUGAGGCCAUUUACCCACAGAGGGUGCCAGGCCCGUAUAACGUUAAUGAUUACUAGAUGACAUUUCCAAAGAGUCGUGUUGCUUGAUAGUGCAGCACUAAGUUGGUGGUAAACUCCAUCUAAAACUAAAUAUAACCAUGAGACCGAUAGUAAACAAGUACCGUGAGGGAAAGUUGAAAAGAACUCUGAAUAGAGAGUUAAAUAGUACGUGAAACUGCUUAGAGGUUAAGCCCGAUGAACCUAAAUAUCCAAUUAUGGAAAAUUCAUCGUUAUGAUUUUAAUAUAUUAUAAUAAUAAUGUGCAUUUUUUCUAUAAAGGACAUUGUAAUCUAUUAACAUAACAUAUUUAUCAAAAGAUCAGUAAGUUUAUUCAAAUUAUUUUGCUUUUCAAUUUAACAUAGAAUAAAUGCUAUUGAUUUGAUAAAGUGUUGAUAGAUUUUAUAUAUAGUGCUUAAAUAGAUUUUGUGAUAGCAUAUAUAUUAUUGAUCUAUAUGUUUAUCAUAUGCACUUAUAUGAUUAACAAUGCGAAAGAUUUAGGAUACCUUCGGGACCCGUCUUGAAACACGGACCAAGGAGUCUAACAUAUUUGCAAGUCAUUGGGUAAAACCUAAUGGCGAAAUUAACAUAACAUGAUGGGAUUAGUUUUUAGGCUAUUGAUUCAAUCCCGGGGCGUUCUAUAUAGUUAUGUAUAAUAAUAUUUAUAUUAUUUAUACCUCUAACUAGGGCGCACCUUGAGCAUAUAUGCUGUGACCCGAAAGAUGGUGAACUAUACUUGAUCAGGUCGAAGUCAGGGGAAACCCUGAUGGAAGACCGAAACAGUUCUGACGUGCAAAUCGAUUGUCAGAAUUGAGUAUAGGGGCGAAAGACCAAUCGAACCAUCUAGUAGCUGGUUCCCUCCGAAGUUUCCCUCAGGAUAGCUGGUGCAUUAAAAGAUUAUUUAAAAUAAUCUUAUCUGGUAAAGCGAAUGAUUAGAGGCCUUAGGGUCGAAACGAUCUUAACCUAUUCUCAAACUUUAAAUGGGUAAGAACCUCACCUUUCUUGGUAUGAAGGUUGUGGUUGUGAUAUAAUGUGCCCAGUGGGCCACUUUUGGUAAGCAGAACUGGCGCUGUGGGAUGAACCAAACGUAAUGUUACGGUGCCCAAAUUAACAACUCAUGCAGAUACCAUGAAAGGCGUU
rnacentral:rRNA from 1 species